UACGGAGGGUGCAAACGUUGCUCGGAAUUAUUGGGCGUAAAGCGCACGUAGGCGGUUUGUUAAGUCGGGUGUGAAAGCCCUGGGCUCAACCUAGGAAGUGCACUCGAAACUGCAGAGCUUGAGUCUCGGAGAGGAUCGCGGAAUUCUCGGUGUAGAGGUGAAAUUCGUAGAUAUCGAGAGGAACACCGGUGGCGAAGGCGGCGAUCUGGACGAUGACUGACGCUGAGACGCGAAAGCGUGGGGAGCAAACAGG
rnacentral:rRNA from 1 species